rnacentral:rRNA from 1 species
UAGGGAAUCUUCCACAAUGGACGCAAGUCUGAUGGAGCAACGCCGCGUGAGUGAAGAAGGUUUUCGGACCGUAAAGCUCUGUUGUUGGUGAAGAAGGAUAGAGGUAGUAACUGGCCUUUAUUUGACGGUAAUCAACCAGAAAGUCACGGCUAACUACGUGCCAGCAGCCGCGGUAAUACGUAGGUGGCAAGCGUUGUCCGGAUUUAUUGGGCGUAAAGCGAGCGCAGGCGGAAGAAUAAGUCUGAUGUGAAAGCCCUCGGCUUAACCGAGGAAUUGCAUCAGAAACUGUUUUCUUGAGUGUAGAAGAGGAGAGUAGAACUCCAUGUGUAGCGGUGGAAUGCGUAGAUAUAUGGAAGAAUACCAGUGGCGAAGGCGGCUCUCUGGUCUGCAACUGACGCUGAGGCUCGAAAGCAUGGGUAGCGAACAGGAUUAGAUACCCUGGUAGUCCAUGCCGUAAACGAUGAGUGCUAAGUGUUGGGAGGCUUCCGCCUCUCAGUGCUGCAGCUAACGCAUUAAGCACUCCGCCUGGGGGAGUACGACCGCAAGGUUGAAAC